rnacentral:rRNA from 1 species
CCUACGAGCGGCUGCAGUGGGGAAUAUUGGACAAUGGGGGGAACCCUGAUCCAGCCAUGCCGCGUGUGUGAAGAAGGCCCUCGGGUUGUAAAGCACUUUCAGUGAGGAAGAACGCCUGGUGGUUAAUACCCAUCAGGAAAGACAUCACUCACAGAAGAAGCACCGGCUAACUCCGUGCCAGCAGCCGCGGUAAUACGGAGGGUGCGAGCGUUAAUCGGAAUUACUGGGCGUAAAGCGCGCGUAGGUGGCUUGAUAAGCCGGUUGUGAAAGCCCCGGGCUCAACCUGGGAACGGCAUCCGGAACUGUCAAGCUAGAGUGCAGGAGAGGAAGGUAGAAUUCCCGGUGUAGCGGUGAAAUGCGUAGAGAUCGGGAGGAAUACCAGUGGCGAAGGCGGCCUUCUGGACUGACACUGACACUGAGGUGCGAAAGCGUGGGUAGCAAACAGGAUUAGAUACCCCAGUAGUC